UGUCUUGUAAUUGGAAUGAUGGUGACGUAAAAUCUCACCAGAGUAACAAUUGGAGGGCAAGUCUGGUGCCAGCAGCCGCGGUAAUUCCAGCUCCAAUAGCGUAUAUUAAACUUGUUGCAGUUAAAAAGCUCGUAGUUGAAUUUCUGCGUUGCCCGACUCGGCUACUUGCCUUGUCUGGUUUCGCUUUUGGGGUUUUCCCCUUUUUACUUUGAGAAAAUUAGAGUGUUUCAAGCAGACUUGUGUCUUGAAUACUUCAGCAUGGAAUAAUAAAGUAGGACUUUGGUUCUAUUUUGUUGGUUUGUGAACCUUAGUAAUGGUUAAUAGGAACGGUUGGGGGCAUUCGUAUUUAACUGUCAGAGGUGAAAUUCUUAGAUUUGUUAAAGACGAACUACUGCGAAAGCAUUUGCCAAGGACGUUUUCAUUAAUCAAGAACGAAAGUUAGGGGAUCGAAGACGAUCAGAUACCGUCGUAGUCCUAACCAUAAAC
rnacentral:rRNA from 1 species